rnacentral:rRNA from 1 species
UCCUGGCUUAGGAUGAACGCUAGCUACAGGCUUAACACAUGCAAGUCGAGGGGUAACAUGAUUGGAGCUUGCUCCGAUUGAUGACGACCGGCGCACGGGUGAGUAACGCGUAUCCAACCUGCCCCAUGCUCAGGGAUAACCUUCCGAAAGGGAGCCUAAUACCUGAUGUUGUGCGACGAUGGCAUCAGAAUUGCACGAAAGAUUCAUCGGCAUGGGAUGGGGAUGCGUCUGAUUAGCUUGUUGGCGGGGUAACGGCCCACCAAGGCGACGAUCAGUAGGGGUUCUGAGAGGAAGGUCCCCCACACUGGUACUGAGACACGGACCAGACUCCUACGGGAGGCAGCAGUGAGGAAUAUUGGUCAAUGGGCGGGAGCCUGAACCAGCCAAGUAGCGUGCAGGAAGACGGCCCUACGGGUUGUAAACUGCUUUUAUGAGGGGAUAAAGUGGGCUACGUGUAGCUUAUUGCAGGUACCUCAUGAAUAAGGACCGGCUAAUUCCGUGCCAGCCGCUGC